GCGGGUAUAGCUCAACUGGUAGAGCGUCCGGCUUUUAACCGGCAGGUUUGGCGUUCAGCCGGACAUGCCCGCACCA
rnacentral:tRNA from 1 species